UAUUGCAUUUCCGCUAAUUUUUCAAAUUCCCAAUACUACGUUUCCGCAAAUUUAAAGUAUACGUUUGCGCAAUUUGUAUUUAUUACUUUUCCGGAAAUUUACCUGGUAAUAUUAAUAGCCGAUGCUCCAUCUAACGAUAAAUGCAUGAAGUUUGCCGAUUAUAUAUUGGAAUUUUACAUAGAUGGCAAUUCGAGAUUUCCACCAACCAUUUUGGGCAUCACCUCCUGACCCCGAGGAAAAGAGAACAACGAAUGGUGCCGAGUCUUUUCAUGCCACCUGAACGAACAGUUUUUCGCUAGCCAUCACAUGUUGGCUACAAAUAUUCAGCCAC
rnacentral:lncRNA from 1 species